CUUUGUAGUCAAUUGAAAUAUAUUUACAAAUAGUUGUGCUGUUAUUUUUUAUCCAAUCUACAGAAACUCUGUCACUAUCAUUCAAAAUUGAGUGGCAGGACAGAUUUGCAGUAUUCCCUCUGAUAACAUUCACAGCACCUGUGGGAGGUUCUGCUUUCCCAUUAAAGGGACAGGCCUGCAUACUGGAAAGGGAGACCACACAAUUUCACAAUCCGCUCUGAACACUCAGCAAGCAGCAGUCUUCACACAAGACUCCCACUAGUCUGGUACAGGGUCUCCAUGAAUCAGCCUCAUGCUCCUUUUGGUGAGGAAUGAUGGGGGCUUUUAAAGAGAGGAGACAGCGGCAGUCGAAUGAGAGAGCCCAGCUGAGAAGCUGCUCGUGUGUUGGCCGCUGCCGUGUUGCAACUUUUGAGUGUGUGAAUUGAAGCUUCACCGUUGUGCUUUAAUCGAAUGUGUUUAUUUUUGUGAAUAAAAGAGUGACAUUCCUGAGUUGGAAUCGCCGUCUCCCACUUCCUCAUUCCUGAACCUCAUUACAAUUGGCAAGGAAAAGUAUGUGAAUCAUUUGGAAUUAGCUGGUUUUCUGCAUUAAGUAGUCAUACAAUGUGAUAUUUUAUGUAUUUAUUGAACACAUCCCGUUAAUCAUUCACAUUGCAGUGGAAAAAGUGAACUCUUGGAUUUAAUAACUGGUAGUGGAUUUACUUCAAUGUUUAGGGUCAUUGUCCUGCUGCAUCAUCUAACUUCUACUGAGCUUCAGCUGGUGCACAGCCACCCUGAAAUUAUCCUGCAGGAUAUCUUGAUAAACGUGGUAAUUCAUUUUUCCCUCAAUGAUGGCAAGUAGCCCAGGCCCGAAUCAGCCCCAAAUCAUGAUGCUUCCUCGACCAUACUUCACCGCUGGGAUAAUGUUUUCAUAUUGGUCUGCGGUGCCCUUUUUACACUAUAUGAAAGUGCUGUGUGUUCUUCACAAACAAUUCAACCUUAGUUUCAUCAGUCCACAAAACAUUUUCCCAGUAGCACUGUGGAGUGUCAAGGUGGUCUUUGGAAAACUUCAGGUGUGCAGCAAUGUUUUUGUUGGAAAGCAGCAGCUUCCAUGGACACCAUGCCUGUUUAAUGUUUUCUGUACUCAUGAACAGAGAUGUGAACCAGUUCCAAUGAUUCCUCAAAUCUUUAGCUGUCACUCUAGGGUUCUUUUUUACCUCAAUGAGCAUUCUGCAGUGUGCCCUUUGAGUCAUCUUGGCUGGACGGCCACUUCUAGGGAGAGUAGCCACAGUACUAAAUCAUCUCCAUUUAUAGACAGUUUGUCUAACUGUGGACAGAUGAAUAUCUAAACUCUUCAAGAUAACUUUGUAACCCUUUCCAGCUUUAUGCAAAGCAACAAUUCUUGACCAUAGGUUUUCUGAGAUCUCUUUUUUGCGACGCAAGGUCCACGUCAGCAGAUGCUUCUUGUGAAUUGCAAACUCAAAAUGUUUGAGUGAUUUUUAUAAGUCAAAGUAGGUCUAAAUUACACCUCCAAUCGUGUUUCCUUAAUUGGAUGCCAGGUUUGCCAACUCCUGACUCUAACCAGGAAAUCUGCUUCUCGCCUCUUCUUUCCACUGAAAAGACUUACACUGGUGCCAAAACCCGGGAAAAAGUUUGAAGAUGGAUGGAAGUCGCCCUGUAGGGUCCUCCCAGUUGGCUGAGAUCCUCCAAACCCUCGCUGGCUUGCAUUGGAGCCACCAGCAAUCCCUGCUUGAGCUCCAGCAAGAUCAAGACCGCCGGUUUGUGGAGCUCAUGCGCGCUCAAGCAGAAGACCGACAGGCGAUGCCUCCUUAGCCAGGAGGCAUCCCCAGCUGGACACCCAAAUGCCGUUACCCCCACCUGCGUUACAGAAGAUGGGGGUGGCGGACGACACAGAGUUGUUCCUGGAUCUCUUCGAGUGCACCGCCGAGAUCUGGGGCUGGCCGCUCGGCCAGUGGGCGGCCCGACUCAUACCGCUGCUGUCCGGGGAAGCCCAGCUCGCAGCUCAACAACUACCAGCGACGAGCCUCCUGGCCUACGGAGACUUAAAGAAAGCCAUCCUGCAACGGGUUGGUCGGAGUCCGGAAGAAAGUCGUCAGCUCUUCCGGAGCCUGAACCUGGAGAACUCCGACCGCCCGUUUGCCUUCGCCCAACGGCUCUGCGACGCCUGCCGAAGAUGGUUGCUAGCGGGGGACCGCGGUGUUGACGGGAUCAUCGACCAGGUGGUACUGGAGCAAUUAGUACAUCAACUGCCAAAAGGGACGGCGGAGUGGGUCCAGUGCCACCACCCGGCGUCGCUGGAGGAAGCCAUCCGGCUUGCGGAGGACCACAUGGCGGCGAUCCUGAGGGGCGGAAGAGCCCUCCCUCUCUCUCUCUCUUUCUUCCCCCUGUCUCAUUCCCCUCCCCUAUCUCCUCUCGUUCUGCUCUCUCUCCAGGUCCCGUUCCUGCCCCACGCAGACGAGGAGGACUUCAGCCACUGAGACCAGUUCCCCGGGUGUGGGAGCCGACACCUACCCCUAUCCCGAUGCCCCACCGCUCUCCCCCUCAAGGGGGGGCGCCCACCGACGCAAGUGCGGGCGUAGCGCCUGGGCCAGUGCCCUCUGAUGGAGCUGGGGAUGGUGGUGCGGGUCUCUGACCUCCCCCAGGCUGCCCCCGACUGAGCUGGAGCGUACAGGAUACCGAUGCAGCUCACUGCUCAUAUCAGAAGAGGUGGAUGGAUGAUAUAUAUUUUGACCUUCUUUGCUCCAGGUGAAGUUCACCUGUGCAGGAUUCAGACCCUCCAAAGAGCAGAGCAGAUGGACACAGGUGGCAUUACUGCUGUUCAGUCGCUGCAGUGAGAGACCUGGAUGUACCAAAAUGAAUUUCAGUAUUCACACUGGGUUAAACUGUCACCACAACAGCAGAUGAUAUGAUUCCAAUAGCACUGUGUAUUAAUGUAGUCUAUUAUUGACAGCUAAUGUAUUCAAAAGGAAGGAAAUUCAAAUGGCUGAAUAAGGAAAUAAUGUAUGACUGCUACAAUCACCUUCAACAUGAAGUAUCACGUAUGAGAUGUACUCAGUUGUUGGUGGUGGAAUUAUUUUCACUGUUUUACAGGUGUAAUUACCAGCGUCACUGAGCUGAACAUUAUCUAUGCUUAGAAAUAAAUACUUUUUAUUCAAUGAAAAAUGAGGUUUGCAAAAUCCUGAGUCAGUUCUCUCUUUGUAGUCAAUUGAAAUAUAUUUACAAAUAGUUGUGCUGUUAUUUUUUAUCCAAUCUACAGAAACUCUGUCACUAUCAUUCAAAAUUGAGUGGCAGGACAGAUUUGCAGUAUUCCCUCUGAUAACAUUCACAGCACCUGUGGGAGGUUCUGCUUUCCCAUUAAAGGGACAGGCCUGCAUACUGGAAAGGGAGACCACACAAUUUCACAAUCCGCUCUGAACACUCAGCAAGCAGCAGUCUUCACACAAGACUCCCACUAGUCUGGUACAGGGUCUCCAUGAAUCAGCCUCAUGCUCCUUUUGGUGAGGAAUGAUGGGGGCUUUUAAAGAGAGGAGACAGCGGCAGUCGAAUGAGAGAGCCCAGCUGAGAAGCUGCUCGUGUGUUGGCCGCUGCCGUGUUGCAACUUUUGAGUGUGUGAAUUGAAGCUUCACCGUUGUGCUUUAAUCGAAUGUGUUUAUUUUUGUGAAUAAAAGAGUGACAUUCCUGAGUUGGAAUCGCCGUCUCCCACUUCCUCAUUCCUGAACCUCAUUACAAUUGGCAAGGAAAAGCUCAUGCUGGUGAC